rnacentral:rRNA from 1 species
CCUACGGGAGGCAGCAGUGAGGAAUAUUGGUCAAUGGACGCAAGUCUGAACCAGCCAAGCCGCGUGCAGGAAGACGGCUCUAUGAGUUGUAAACUGCUUUUGUACGAGGUAAACGCAGAUACGCGUAUCUGUAUGAAAGUAUCGUACGAAUAAGGAUCGGCUAACUCCGUGCCAACAGCCGCGGUAAUACGGAGGAUUCAAGCGUUAUCCGGAUUUAUUGGGUUUAAAGGGUGCGUAGGCGGUCGGAUAAGUUAGAGGUGAAAUCCCGAGGCUCAACUUCGGAAUUGCCUCUGAUACUGUUCGGCUAGAGAGUAGUUGCGGUAGGCGGAAUGUAUGGUGUAGCGGUGAAAUGCUUAGAGAUCAUACAGAACACCGAUUGCGAAGGCAGCUUACCAAGCUACUUCUGACGUUGAGGCACGAAAGCGUGGGGAGCAAACAGGAUUAGAUACCCCUGUAGUC